CACCUCCGCAGGAAGGCGAGGCUGGGAAGCCGUUGGCACCGCCUCGGGAGCUUGCGGGGGGGACGAGGCUGUGCGGGAAGAGGGUUAACGCUAAGGGUGUUGAGUCGGUGAACAGUGGGAGAGGCCCUGGGGCUGCCCACUAGGCUUGUCUGAAGCCUUGAGAUGCUCCUUCCUCGCUCCACCAUCGCCUGUGGGGACCCUGGACACCGUCCGUCUUAGCCUCGGUUGCCCCGAAGACAGACGGCAAGAGUGUUUUCUCCCUUGUGACCUUAGCCGGCAGUCCCCAGUCGAGCUUCCCUUUUGGAACUGAGGACUGCUUAUAUGCGACUGAAAAAAAAAAAUCCAUUUAAACGAGGCCAAAUGAAUUUUGUCAACUUCAGAAGAAACAAGGACGAUGCGCAGCCUUCAGGAUGUGACUGUGUUUAAAGAGAUGUUCUCCGACAUACAGACACGGCCCAGUGAGGGGUGAAUUAGUCUGAGUCCUUCCUGGGUGAUAUCAAGCAGACAGUUCUUUCAGAAUUAGCCAUCUGGCCUCCUCAAGCGCCGGUGUUGUGCCACAGGGUGUAGACCUUCGCAAGCAGGCGUGUAGCGUACAAAUAGGAAACGUCUCCCGGAUCGCGCAUUAACACAGCCACGGAAAAUGGCAUUUUAAUAAAUGUGUUCUCCAAAUGGA